CCUACGGGUGGCAGCAGUGAGGAAUAUUGGUCAAUGGGCGUAAGCCUGAACCAGCCAAGUCGCGUGAGGGAUGAAGGUUCUAUGGAUCGUAAACCUCUUUUAUAAGGGAAUAAAGUGCGGGACGUGUCCCGUUUUGUAUGUACCUUAUGAAUAAGGAUCGGCUAACUCCGUGCCAGCAGCCGCGGUAAUACGGAGGAUCCGAGCGUUAUCCGGAUUUAUUGGGUUUAAAGGGUGCGUAGGCGGCCUUUUAAGUCAGCGGGGAAAGUCUGUGGCGCAACCAUAGAAUUGCCGUUGAAACUGGGAGGCUUGAGUAUGUUUGAGGCAGGCGGAAUGCGUGGUGUAGCGGUGAAAUGCUUAGAUAUCACGCAGAACCCCGAUUGCGAAGGCAGCCUGCCAGGCCAUGACUGACGCUGAUGCACGAAAGCGUGGGGAUCAAACAGGAUUAGAUACCCUGGUAGUC
rnacentral:rRNA from 1 species